rnacentral:antisense_RNA from 1 species
UUUUCCGAGACAAAGUCUCACUCUGUCACAGGCUGGAGUGCAAUGGCAGGAUUACGGCUCACUGCAGCCUGAAACUCUUGAACUCAAGCGAUCUUCCUGCCUCAGCCUCCCAAGUAGCUGGGACCACAGGCGUGAGCCACCAUGCCUGGCCACUGCUAUUUUUCUUAAUGAAAGAGGAAAUAUACAGAAUUGACAUUAAGACUAAAUGCAGGAAAAAUUGAUUCAGUAAACAUUUUAUGGUAAUUUCCCCAAGUUUUAACAAAUCAGUAGUUUAUAGUAACCAAAUCUUAACACACACUUUUAUUAUUACAACUAUAUUAACAUAAUUUAUUUUCUGUUCGGGAGGUACCAUAUCUGAAUUAAAGUCCAAGUCCCAUCUUAAUGGAGAAAAUUGAUUGCUGAAGCAAAAAGGUACAGAACAAACCAUUCAAUUUCAAUGGUCACAUUGUGAAGAAGCUUACCACUCAUUUAAUUUGACCAAAAAUGCUAUUAUUGAAGAUAAUUGAUGACAUAAUCCUAGUAUAUCCCUGAGUAACAGCAGAUAAGGAUUUAAGGUUGAGGAUAUUCCCCAAAUGCUCUU